AGAUUUUAGAUGGAAAUCUGCUCCAGCUCUGAGACAGCAGUUGGGGUGGAGGGUUAGCCUAGCUCAGUAGUAUAUUUCUGGCUGGGAAUGUGGCACAGCUCAGAAGCUUGAUGUAGAUUGGAAUUUAAUUCUGUUCAGGAGCUUAUGCUAGUGUCAGCAAUAGGGGGCCUAUGCCAGUUUCAGAGGUGCAUCACGGGUUAAGAAUUCAGCCCAAAGUAUGAUCUAGAGCUGGUGGGCUUCAGACAGAAACUUAUUUACCUUAAAGAGACCUGUUUAAAAAGGAUUGUUCAUUGUUUCAGAAGCUGCUACCAGGAUUUUGUAAAAUCUGUUUCCUAGGGGAUCUUCAAUUAGUCCCUUAUUUUAUUUUAAUGGACUCCUGAUUUCCUUUGCACUUUGUGUCUUUGUCUGUACCCACAGUGUGAUAGCUACACAAUAUGGGGUGAAGUGGGAGUUGCAAACUGAGAAUGUUGCCAUCCAACAAACAAUAUGAAAUUCUCCCUUGUGUAAAGUGCAGCUAAACAUACACCUACCACAACUACUUGUGCUAGUGAGGCUCAGUUGGUGGAGUAUGUGUGGCUAGUGGUCAUGAAAGGGGCUGUGAACACCGCUGCAUCGUUUUCUCUCCCUAGAAUCCCGGGCUCUGGCUACGAGAGAAAAGGGGGAAAGCCUCCCGAAUAGUGAUUUCUUUACCAUCUUCCUUGUAAAGCCAGGAAUCUGGGGUUGAAAAUCACCCUCCUCUUUGUGACGUACACAGAGAGCCUGAGCAAAUGGGCUGGGUAUGGGGGGACUGGGGCACAGAGAGAGGACAUGAUUUUUCUCCAGAAAGUCUGCGGUAGAACUGGAAACUGACCCCAGCCCACCUGAGUCCCAGCCCAUUACCUUACACUGAAGGCCUUCCUCCCUGGGCCAGACUUGCAUGUGGGGCUCCAGGACUGGACAAGCAAGGGAUGCUGUGGUUCAAGACUGAGGCAGAUUUGUGUGGAAGUCUAGGAAUGCAUUAGCAGAUGACACUGCAGGCCAGUUGCCAGCUUCCCUUUGAAAAAAAAUCUAGCAUUCAGUAGCAGUCUUUGGAAACUAGCAUUAAAACUCAGCUGCACUCCAAGGAGCAAAUGUACUGUGUGCUGCAAUGAAUUGAUUUAAUUAAAAAGUCGCUAAUUCAUACAAA